UAAUACGAAGGGUGCAAGCGUUACUCGGAAUUACUGGGCGUAAAGCGUGCGUAGGUGGUUAUUUAAGUCCGUUGUGAAAGCCCUGGGCUCAACCUGGGAACUGCAGUGGAUACUGGAUGACUAGAAUGUGGUAGAGGGUAGCGGAAUUCCUGGUGUAGCAGUGAAAUGCGUAGAGAUCAGGAGGAACAUCCAUGGCGAAGGCAGCUACCUGGACCAACAUUGACACUGAGGCACGAAAGCGUGGGGAGCAAACAGGAUUAGAUACCCUGGUAGUCCACGCCCUAAACGAUGCGAACUGGAUGUUGGGUGCAAUUUGGCACGCAGUAUCGAAGCUAACGCGUUAAGUUCGCCGCCUGGGGAGUACGGUCGCAAGACUGAA
rnacentral:rRNA from 1 species